rnacentral:rRNA from 1 species
AAAACGACUCUCGGCAACGGAUAUCUAGGCUCUCGCAUCGAUGAAGAACGUAGCGAAAUGCGAUACUUGGUGUGAAUUGCAGAAUCCCGUGAACCAUCGAGUCUUUGAACGCAAGUUGCGCCCAAAGCCAUCAGGCCGAGGGCACGUCUGCCUGGGCGUCACAC